UGUACCGUGCAAUCAGGAAACGGCUUCUAUUAUCGGACACAAUAAUGGCUGCUACCCGACGAUUCCGUUAUUCUCUACGCGGUCCAGUCGACAUCGGAGGGUCGCCCGUGUGUCAGUCGUCGCUCUGAAGCCGCCAUUACCUCCGCUGCUUCGCUGGCCUUGCUGCUCACCCACAAUGCACUGCCAGAGGCUUUUGUGUUUCUUGGACAGCCCACUGUAACCGUUGACACCACUCCAUCCAGAGCACACCGCAGCAGCACAGCAGGAAGGUCCUGUCCGGGUUGGUGUUAUUCAUUGUCUUACUGGAAUCAUGUCUGGCUCAGGCGACUUACCAUCCAUAGAGGGCUCCGGGAUGGGCGGG